rnacentral:tRNA from 1 species
GCGCUUGCAUGGCAUGCAAGAGGUCCGCGGUUCGAUCCCGCGUACCUCCA